GACGAACGCUGGCGGCGUGCUUUACACAUGCAAGUCGAACGGUGAAGGUGGAGCUUGCUCCGCCGGAUCGGUGGCGAACGGGUGAGUAACACGUGGGCAACCUGCCCCUAACUUUGGGAUAACUACUCGAAAGAGUAGCUAAUACCGGAUAUGCAGUCUGUAGGCAUCUACGGAUUUGGAAAGUUUUUCGGUUAGGGAUGGGCCCGCGGCCUAUCAGCUUGUUGGUGAGGUAGUGGCUCACCAAGGCGACGACGGGUAGCCGGCCUGAGAGGGCGACCGGCCACACUGGGACUGAGACACGGCCCAGACUCCUACGGGAGGCAGCAGUGGGGAAUAUUGCGCAAUGGGCGAAAGCCUGACGCAGCAACGCCGCGUGCGGGAUGAAGGCCUUCGGGUUGUAAACCGCUUUCAGCAGGGAAGAAGCGAAAGUGACGGUACCUGCAGAAGAAGCACCGGCUAACUACGUGCCAGCCGCCGCUGUAA
rnacentral:rRNA from 1 species